ACUUGGCUGGCUCAAUUGGUAGAGCAUGUGACUUGUGAUCUCAGGGUCAUGAGUUCAAGCCCCAUGUUGGGCC
rnacentral:tRNA from 1 species